AUUCUACGUCCCGGCACAGUUGGACUAUGUAGAGGACUAUUGGUGACAAUACCAUCCGAGAUGUGAUUUGCUGUGAUGUGUUGCAUUCCAUGAAAGCAUGAAAUUUUAAUAUAUUGUUUCCACUAUUCUGCUCACUGGGCUUUGUAGCUCACCCCUCUCCCCUAACCCCAGAUGUGCAGGUACAGGGUAGAUCAGAAGGUUAGCCAGAGUUUUGAAGUAUG
rnacentral:lncRNA from 1 species